UACGUAGGGGGCAAGCGUUGUCCGGAAUUAUUGGGCGUAAAGCGCGUGUAGGCGGCUUCGUAAGUCCGUUGUGAAAGUCCAGGGCUCAACCCUGGAAUGCCGAUGGAUACUGCGGAGCUAGAGUCCGGAAGAGGCGAGUGGAAUUCCUGGUGUAGCGGUGAAAUGCGCAGAUAUCAGGAGGAACACCAAUGGCGAAGGCAGCUCGCUGGGACGGUACUGACGCUGAGACGCGAAAGCGUGGGGAGCAAACAGG
rnacentral:rRNA from 1 species